GAUGAACGCUAGCGGCAGGCCUAACACAUGCAAGUCGAACGGUAACAUUGGUUGCUUGCAACCAGAUGACGAGUGGCGCACGGGUGCGGAACGCGUAUGGAACCUGCCCCUGUCAGGGGAAUAGCCCAGAGAAAUUUGGAUUAAUGCCCCAUGGUAACAUGUCAUUGCAUGAUGAUAUGUUUAAAGAUUUAUCGGACAGGGAUGGCCAUGCGUAUCAUUAGCUGGUUGGUAAGGUAACGGCUUACCAAGGCAACGAUGAUUAGGGGCCCUGAGAGGGGGAUCCCCCACACUGGUACUGAGACACGGACCAGACUCCUACGGGAGGCAGCAGUGAGGAAUAUUGGACAAUGGUGGGAACACUGAUCCAGCCAUGCCGCGUGCAGGAUGACUGCCCUAUGGGUUGUAAACUGCUUUUAUACGGGAAGAAACCCAGGUACGUGUACCUGGCUGACGGUACCGUAAGAAUAAGGACCGGCUAACUCCGUGCCAGCCGCCGCCGUAACAC
rnacentral:rRNA from 1 species